CUUUUUACUUAAAAUAAAAAAGUAAAGUAGAAGUCAGAAGCAAAUGAAGACUUAUAAGUGACUAAACUGUUUGGAAAAGAAGCAGAAGUCGUGAAACAAAAGCUAGUAAUCCUAGCUUUUUUUAAGUACUUCUUGACUUUUUACACAAACGGUACAAAUAAGUGCUUCUAACUUAUAAACCAUAAGUUGGGCUUAUUAUGCGUCGCCAAACACCACCU
rnacentral:lncRNA from 1 species